AGCUCCAAUAGCGUAUAUUAAAGUUGUUGCAGUUAAAAAGCUCGUAGUCGGAUUUCGGGUCGGGCCGAGCGGUCUGCCGAUGGGUAUGCACUGUUUGGCGCGGCCUUCUUUCCGGAGACCGCGGCUACUCUUAACUGAGCGGGCGUGGGAGACGGAUCGUUUACUUUGAAAAAAUCAGAGUGUUUCAAGCAGGCAGCUCGCUCUUGCAUGGAUUAGCAUGGGAUAAUUGAAUAGGACUCUGGUGCUAUUUUGUUGGUUUCGAACACCGGAGUAAUGAUUAACAGGGACAGUCAGGGGCACUCGUAUUCCGUCGAGAGAGGUGAAAUUCUCAGACCAAUGGAAGACGAACCACCCAGGGAUGUUUUCA
rnacentral:rRNA from 1 species